rnacentral:rRNA from 1 species
UACGGAGGGUGCUAGCGUUGUUCGGAAUUACUGGGCGUAAAGCGCACGUAGGCGGCUUUGUAAGUUAGAGGUGAAAGCCCAGGGCUUAACCCUGGAAUUGCCUUUAAGACUGCAUCGCUAGAAUCGUGGAGAGGUGAGUGGAAUUCCGAGUGUAGAGGUGAAAUUCGUAGAUAUUCGCAAGAACACCAGUGGCGAAGGCGGCUCACUGGCCCGAUACUGACGCUGAGGCGCGAAAGCGUGGGGAGCAAACAGG